AGAUUCAUACAGGAACAAAUCCAACGGCUAGGAUCUUCAGGAUUCGCGGCCGGCCAGCGCGCUCUCUCGAUUUGUUUUUCCUGCUCGCCUGACUAGACUAGAAGCACCUAGAGUCUCGAUAAAAAAAAACUCUAGCAGCUUCCAGUUCCACCGCUCGCCCGCCAUCUCCUCGGCGCUUGCCCUCGCUGCUACUCAUCCUUCACAAGCGAUUCGCUAGGUUUCAAGUGUUCGUCCGUCCGUCACCAAGUUGCUUCCAAUCAAAUCGAGCUGCUUCCAAUUAAAUCGAGCUGCUUCCAAUCCAAUCGGCGGAACUCCACAUUUUUGCCGCUGCCGCCAACACCGCUCCCUGACAUCUGCCGUACGCGCGCUCUUCACCAACCGCGGCAAGCGCUCGCCCAGCUCGCUUCGAGCCUCCUGCCCUCUGGACUCGGCCGUCCGUGGUCGUCUGUUUCUCUGGUGCUACCGCUACGUACUGCUGGCCUAAAAUUUCAGCUCCUUCGCCUCUCGGUUUGUGGGUUGCAGCUGCUACUGCAGCCACGCCAUAUCAGUACAGCCCAACAACGCACUUCCAUUUGAAGAGUUAUCUACAGAUGAAAUGAAGGGAAAUUCAGCUAAUCAUGAGAAGAUACACUAAAAUACAAGAACGAAGUCCAUUUAAAGAUAUUACAAAUUCGGCUGACUUGCGGAUAUCGUCAAAUGGUAAACAAGAUCUUCUGGUUAAUGAAACUAAACGCCCAAUAUAUCCAUCUGGUGUAUCCAUACAAUCAAGUAAUCCUUCACAUGGACAUAAAAGUAUUAUAGGAAGAAAUGCUUCUGAGCGCAAGUGUUAUCGUGACCAGGAAAGAUACGUGACGAUGACUCCAGAACAGCGUGAUGCCUACCUGCAAAGGAACCGUGAAUACAAACGGAGAAGGAAGAAUCAUGAUGCAUUUAGCGAGGGUGUGCAAUAUGCAGUUAGCCAAAUUAAUAAAAUUACCCACAUCAACAUGCACGCACCAGCUCUCGCCAACAGACGCGAGAAAGUUGGACUCUUAAACAUGUACCGAAGAAUCAAUUGGUGAAGAUUAUGUGCGCCUACCUGAAGAUAUAAUUAUUGGUUACACUGAUUCAGAAGCAUCGGUUAGUAAGUUAGUCAACGAUAUCUUUCCUGCACUUGACCACUAUGGAAGAUUGCCAUCCUAUAUAAGUGCCCGUGUCAUUAUUUCCACUAAGAAUGAAUAUGUGGAUGAAAUAAAUACGCUACUUAUAAACCGAUUUCCUGGGGAUGAAAAGGUUUACUACAAUUUUGAUUCAGCAGUGGAUGAUACACAGAAUCACUACCAACCCGAAUUCCUGAACUCUCUAACACCUAAUGGCGUGCCUCCACAUGUUCUCAAGUUGAAGAUCAACUGCCCAGUAAUCCUGCUUCGAAAUUUGGAUCCAUCUAAUGGAUUAUGCAAUGGCACAAGACUUAUUAUCAAGGCAUUUCAAGAUAAUGCUAUUGAUGCAGAAAUUAUUGGAGGACAACAUGCUGGAAAGCGCGUAUUCCUUCCAAGAAUUCCUUUAUACCCAUCUGAAGAUGAUGUAUUCCCCUUUAAAUUUACAAGAAAACAAUUUCCAAUUCGUCUUAGUUUUGCUAUGACAAUUAAUAAAGCUCAGGGCCAAACCAUUCCAAAUGUUGGCAUCUACCUUCCCGAGAAUGUGUUCUCUCAUGGUCAAUUAUAUGUUGCUUUGUCAAGAGGGAUAUCAAGGCAAACAACAAGAAUACUUGCCAAGCCAAACAAGGAUAUUGACUCAUCAGGCAAAAGUACCAAAAAUAUUGUGUAUAAGGAGGUAUUGAUGGUAUGAUAAAUUUGAAUUAUGAAUCAAUGCCUUUUGUUUCGUGUAUGAUACCGCUUUUCAUUCACUCCUAAUACAUAGGUAUGUUGAUCACUGGCUACUAUUUUAUAUAUGUUAAAAAUAUAUUUUUCGAUCAUGCAGCUAAAAGUGAUGCUCUUUUUUCCUUUGUCAGGAAGUAGCAUGUUUUUUUGGCAGCACUAUAGUUCCAUUGCAUGCAAAACCACGGUGCAACUACGGGGGAAUUUGGAACCAUGUGCCUGUUUUGAACGCGAAUAACCUAAAGUGAAGGCCUAUGAUAGCCCUAUGUGUCCAUGUUUUCGAUCUUCACUUCUUUUGAAGAACACCAAAUUUAGUUCUGAUCCUAUGAAACAUGAAUGAUGUACUUAUGAAUCAGCUCCGUUGAGACAACAUGGAUAUCAGCUCAACUAACAACUUUUUGUGAGCAUACUAAGUUAAACUUUGUCAUCACAUUUGGCGCAACAUAUGAUAGACGAUGUCAAUGUAUUCCAUAAUAUUUUCACAUAAUAUUUCAUUAGUUUGUAACUAUGUGUAUUUGUUUGAGUUCUAAA